UGCCGUUGCCCUUAUGGGCGUUUCCUCCCUAGACUUCAGACCGCGCUGCUUCAACGCAGUGCGGUUUUUUUUGCCCGGC
rnacentral:sRNA from 1 species